AUAGGCAUUACGGGUUAGGUGUUCAGAGUCAGGGUACAAGGGAUUUUGUUUGAGUAUAGUCGGGUGUUAAGGUUAUGCGAUGACGCAUUCAGGCUGUUCGGUUCGUCAUACAGGCGAUUUGGGUUUGGUGUGUCGACGCUUUUAGGAUACGGGGGUUUGGUGUAAGUGUUUACUACCUAACGCUUAAUCCUCUAAUCCAAACCCAGGUGCUUGUUCGUUGCACCUGUAAUGAGCUUUUUCACAGGCCUGGUCUAUUUAGUGGAGAUGACGGCGCUGUUGGACGGUAUGCGCUGGUGCGGCUGGAUGGGUUGUGGAGCCGAGGAUUAGGAGAGAGAGGAACGUCGGUGUUGACUGUCGAAACAAAUUUAAGGCCUGGUCUAUUUAGUGGAGAUGACAGCGCUGUUGGACGGUCUGUGCUGGUGUGGCUGGUUGGCUUGUGGAGCAGAGGUCAAUGAGGAGAGGAACGUCGGUGCUGACUGUCGAUGAAACAAAUUUAAGGUACAGAAGUGAACCAAUCUUUUUUUUUUCUUCAGUCAAUGGACACUGUCUUGUUUACUUUCAAACUUGGCUUGUUGCAAACAUGUGCACAUAUUCAGCAUAACAUCUCUGGUCACUGAAAUGACACGCUUCUCUUUCAUCUAGAACUGCUUCAAAUGUGUAAUGUGGGAAAAGUGGCUCAGAUUGCAUCACUGUCCGUGUUUUAUGUGUUGUGUGCUACAUCAAACCAGCAUUUGGAAAUGUGGCGCAUUUCCGCUGUUUAUUCUUGUGUUGAUGAAUGUGCACUGUUCCAAUAAAAUCUUCACACUCGGUAUGCUAACCUCCUCACCAACCCUUAACAGUAAACUAUAACCCUAACCCUGUACCCUCACUCCUAACCAAAACCCUCAAAUCACCUACCCUGAACGCUAACCUCCAUAAUCCUUAAGCUAAUGUUAAAUCUUAACCUUUAAUUCUCCCCUUAACCUGACAUAUUGUGUACCUUAACCCAAUUCAUCCGUAAGACUCUAAAUCCGCAACCCCUAAAUCCUAAAAUUAAACUUGAACCCUAACCCUCAUCCAUACUGCAGGCAUGUCCAGCCCUGGGCCUGGAGGGCCACGGUCCUGCCAGUUGUCCAUUCCCGGCUGCAACACACCUGAUUCAGAUGAUCAGCUCAUCAGCCAUCUCUGAAGCAGCAUUGGAACGAUCCUGAUUAUUUGAAUCGGGUGUGUUGCUCCUGGCGAAGUUGGAAAACAGGACAAGCGUCCCUUGAGGACUGAGUUUGGAGACCCCUGCCUUUUACCCUAAUCUCCCUCACUCAAACCCUAAUUCCCUAAUGCAAACACCUGUCCAUGUACUCUAGCCGCUAAACAAUGAUCCCCACACCUCUUAACCUAACUAUAAACACUAACCCUCUAAUCCUAACUAAACUAACAUUAACCCCAAACCUUGACCCACAAAAUGCUAGCCCCUAAUUCUAACCCGAUUUGACAAUGCAAACCCCACAUCAGAGCCCCGGGCCUGGAGGUCCACUGUCCGGCCCGUUGUCCACCUCUCCUGGCUGCAACACACUUGAUUCAGAUGAUCAGCUCAUCAGCAAUCUCUGAAGCAGCAUUAGAACGAUCCUGAUUUUUUUGAAUCAGGCGUGUUGCUCCUGGCAAAGUUGGAAAAGGGUCAGGACAAGCGUCCCUUGAGGACCGAGUUUGGACACCCCUGCCAUUCUCCCUAAUCCCCUCACACAAACCCUAAUUCCCCAACCUUCAAUGUUAAUACCUGUCCUUGUACUCUAACCUAUAAACCAUGACCCCCUCCCCUACACCCCCUAACUACACUUGUGGUAAUCCUAAACCUUGACCCAGAAAAUGCUAGCCCCUUAAUCCUAACCCGAUUUGACAAUGCAACCCCCAAAUCCGAGCACCAGCCUUCAUCCAUACUCCAGGAAUGUCUGGGCCUGGAGGGCCAAUGUCCUGCUUUUUUUCCACCUCUUUCAUGUGUAACACACCUGAUUCAGAUGAUCAGCUCAUCAGCCAGCUCAGUCAUUAGAAUGAUCCUGGUUAUUUGAAUAAAGGUGUGUUUCUCCCGGCAGAGCUGGAGAAACAGACAGACCAAGUUGGGACACCCCUGCCCUAUCCUGAACCUUCUAACUCUAAACGCUAGCCCUGUACCCUCACCCCUAUCCUAAACCAUAACUCUUGAAUCCCCUACUCUAAACCCCUAACACUUUAAACCCCCAAGGCCAAUUUUAAAUCCUACCUCUUAAGCCCAACUCCCGAACCAGACCGUUAACGCUAACCUCGCAUAACCCUAAUCCCCUGUAACCUCUUCACCAUCAAUGCUGAAACACCAAAAUGCCGAACCCGAACUGCCUAAACACCUAACGGUCUCACUCCUAACAUCAAAUCUUAACCCUGAUCGUCUUAAUCCUAUCCCUAACUUGAAACCCAGAUUCUCCAGCCCUAACCUAAUACUAACUCUGGCCCUACACCUUGUCUGAACCUAAACCAUACUCCAAACCCGAACUUUCAUCAACUGCCUAAACACCUAACCUAAAAUGCCUAAUUCUAACACUAAAAGCAAAAUGUCCUCUCCUUAACUUCUACCUAACCCACAACCAUGACUCGGAGCUUCUCAAACCUAACCCACCCGUUAUCACCGAAAAUGCUGGCCUCUUACCCCAGCUUCAACCGCAGCCCCCCCCCCACCUCCCCCCAAAAUCGUAAAACUAAACUUAAACUCUUCCAUACUCCAGGCAUGUUGUGCUCUGGGCAUUGGCGGGCCACUGUCCUGUCUGCUUUGCAUCUCUCCUGGCUGCAACACACCUAAUUUAGAUAAUCAGCUCAUCAGCCAGCUCUGAAGCAGCAUUAAAACGAUCCUGAUUAUUUGAAUUGUGUGCUGCCCCUGGAAGAACUGGAAAAGGGCCGGACGGAGACUCUUAAUGACAGUUUAGACACCCCUGCCCUACCCUGAACGCUAAUCCCAACCUAAACCAUUACCCCCUACCCGAAACUAACAACCCCGAACCACCCAAUCUCUAUAAUCCUAAAACCAGAUUAAGACGUAACUUCUUAUUGCCAGUGAAUUAAGUGACACUAAUGCCUAACUGCUUUCAGUUUAUGCAAUUUGGUUUUAUUUCAUUGGGACAGUGCACAUAAAUCAACAAAUUGAGGAAUAAGCGGUGAAACUGGGUAAUCUUUUAUAACUGAACCCAGUCUGCAAAACCUGCAAACGAAAUUUUCCAAUGUAAAAUAUGGACAAAUGGAAGCUGUACCACCCCAAGUGACACAUUCAGCAGGAGUCAUUUGAAUGCUGAUGGAAUUACACGAAGACUCAAGUGUUCAACCAUUGGAGAAGUGAGGAUGACAGAUGUGGAAAAGGAAGAUCAAGACCCUCAUCCAGGCCAAAACUGGACUUAACUGAAUAAAGCCAAAGUUGUCUCUCACAAACGAUACAUACGAGUUGUCUUUUUUUUUUUUUCACUUCCAAGUGUGCCAAAUUGUUUACAUUAAAAAGACAUUGAUGGAAAUUGCUUUUGUAGUUUGAUCUUGAUUGCUUUUGUAAGUUGAUCUUCUCAAGCCGUGACCACCUGAUGUUGCUCACAGUGGUCAUCGGUGUGCUCAGGGUCUGUUUGCCCAGACGUGAAAAAUUAGAAGGAACAUUGCACCCAAGGUGCACAAUGGCCUAACUCUAGCCCCUCUUAUUCUAACCCCACGCCUUACACAAACCCUAACAACUCCCUACUGUUGAAUUCUUGACCUAAUCGCUGACCCCUAACACCUACUCCCACCCUUCAACCCAAAAAGCAGAACUGAUGAAACGCCUAAUCCUAGCCUAACCCUCGCCACUUAAAAUCUUAAUUGUCUCGCCUCCUAACCCCAACCCAUAAAGAUGACCCCCUCGCAUCCAAUUCCAGACUACUUAACACCUGAUAUUCUACCCUGCUCCUAACAUGAAUUGUUGUCCAAACAAACCCCUAUCCAUAACAGUCGCUAGCCCCUAACCCUUAACACUAACCCCAAUUUUGACAGCAAUCCCUGGAUCCAAACACUGAAUCCUACCAGAGACAUGCCUAGCUCCUGGCCUGGAAGGCUACUGCCCUACCCGUUCUCCAGCUUUCCUGGCUGCAACAAACCUGAUUCAGAUGAUCACACGGCCCUGAAUCGGCAUUGGAACGAUCCUGAAUGUUCUAAUCAGGUGUGUUGGGACAGCUGGAAAACUGGCAGGACGGUGGCCCUUGAGGACAGUUUGGACACAUUUGUCCUACCCCGUGCCCUAACCUAAACGAUUACCCCAGACCCCCUUUAGCCUCACCCCUAACCCUGUUCCCGUUCCCUAACGCUCACCCUCAACAUUAACCCUAACUAAUCUCUAGUCAUCAUCUAACCCAAAAUGGCAAAACCAUCUAAAUGCCUCACUGCAUAAACAUCUAAACGCAAAACUCUAACCUCUAAAUACCUUAUCCACCUAAGUCUUAUAGCCUAACCAGACCCCUACUUGAUCCAGACUCUACCUCAAAUCCUAAAACUUAAUUUCGCUCCCAGCCCCUAAUGCCAAGGGAGUUCGGGUGUUAGGGUUGUUCCGGUGUUAGGGUUGUUUGGGUGUUCGGGUGUUAGGGUGUUAGGGUUGUUCCGGUGUUAGGGUUGUUCCGGUGUUAGGGUUGUUUCGGUGUUAGGGUUGUUCCGGUGUUAGGGUUGUUCGGGUGUUUCGGUUGUUCAGUUGUUAGGGUUGUUCCGGUGUUAGGGUUGUUCCGGUGUUAGGGUUGUUCGGGUGUUUCGGUUGUUCCGGUGUUAGGGUUGUUCGGGUGUUUCGGUUGUUCGGUUGUUAGGGUUGUUCGGUUGUUAGGGUUGUUCCGGUGUUAGGGUUGUUCGGUUGUUAGGGUUGUUCCGGGUGUUAGGGUUGUUCCGGUGUUAGGGUUGUUCGGUUGUUAGGGUUGUUCCGGGUGUUAGGGUUGUUCGGUUGUUAGGGUUGUUCCGGUGUUAGGGUUGUUUCGGUUGUUAGGGUUGUUCGGUUGUUAGGGUUGUUCCGGUGUUAGGGGUGUUCCGGGUGUUAGGGGUGUUCCGGGUGUUAGGGUUGUUCCGGUG